GGCGGAUGUCUCGGCGUUGAGAGGCGAUGAAGGACGUGGAAACCUGCGAUAAGCCCAGAGGAGCUGGUAAUCGAGCUUUGAUCCUGGGAUUUCCGAAUGGAGCAAUCCGGCCCUACGGGGUCAUCACCACCUGAAUGCAUAGGGUGGUGAGGCGAACCCGGCGAACUGAAACAUCUCAGUAGCCGGAGGAAAAGAAAGCAAACGCGAUUCCGUAAGUAGCGGCGAGCGAAAGCGGACAAACCAAUAGCUGUGUGAACCGUCUGGAAAGGCGGACCAAAGAAGGUGAAAGUCCUGUAGUGCAGUAGUUGGGUAGCCCUAGAGUAGUGUCGAGCUCGUGGAACUCGGCGUGAACAUGGGGGGUCCACCCUCCAAGGCUAAAUACUCCUCAACGACCGAUAGCGAACCAGUAAGGCGACUGAACGAUGAAAAGCACCCCGAUAAGGGGAGUGAAAAGUACCUGAAACCGCAUGCUUACAAGCUGUAGGAGCCCGGCGCACUUCGGUGCGGGCGGGUGACUGCGUGCCUUUUGCAUAAUGAGCCGACGAGUUACUUUCUACGGCAAGGUUAAGCCGAAUCCCGGCGGAGCCGAAGGGAAACCGAGUCUUAAACGGGCGUCGAGUCGUAGGAGGUAGACGCGAAACCAGGUGAUCUACCCAUGGGCAGGUUGAAGAUGGGGUAAUACCCGUUGGAGGACCGAACACACUAACGUUGAAAAGUUAGGUGAUGACCUGUGGGGAGGAGUAAAAGUCUAAUCAUACCUGGAGAUAUCUCGUUCUCUCCGAAAUAGCUUUAGGGCUAGCCUCGCGUUACAUCGUGUGGGGGUAGAGCGACUGGAUGGGGUUGGGGGGCUACCCGCCUACCCGCCUCAACCAAACUCCGAAUACCACACGACUUUGUCGCGGGAGUCAGUCCGCGGGAGAUAAUUUCCGCGGUCGAAAGGGAAACAGCCCAGAUCGUCAGAUAAGGCCCCUAAACGAUCCUCAGUUGAUAAGGUAGUUGGAUUGCCAUGACAGCCAGGAUGUUGGCUUAGAAGCAGCCAUCAUUUAAAGAAAGCGUAAUAGCUCACUGAUCGAGUCGUCCUGC
rnacentral:rRNA from 1 species